rnacentral:rRNA from 1 species
UAGGGAAUCUUCGGCAAUGGGGGGAACCCUGACCGAGCAACGCCGCGUGAGUGAAGAAGGUUUUCGGAUCGUAAAGCUCUGUUGUUAAGGAAGAACGAGUGUGAGAAUGGAAAGUUCAUACUGUGACGGUACUUAACCAGAAAGGGACGGCUAACUACGUGCCAGCAGCCGCGGUAAUACGUAGGUCCCGAGCGUUGUCCGGAUUUAUUGGGCGUAAAGCGAGCGCAGGCGGUUAGAUAAGUCUGAAGUUAAAGGCAGUGGCUCAACCAUUGUAGGCUUUGGAAACUGUUUAACUGGAGUGCAGAAGGGGAGAGUGGAAUUCCAUGUGUAGCGGUGAAAUGCGUAGAUAUAUGGAGGAACACCGGUGGCGAAAGCGACUCUCUGGUCUGUAACUGACGCUGAGGCUCGAAAGCGUGGGUAGCAAACAGG